GGGGGAUAUUGCACAAUGGGCGAAAGCCUGAUGCAGCAACGCCGCGUGAGCGAUGAAGGCCUUUGGGUCGUAAAGCUCUGUCCUUGGGGAAGAAACAAAUGACGGUACCCUUGGAGGAAGCCCCGGCUAACUCCGUGCCAGCAGCCGCGGUAAUACGGAGGGGGCAAGCGUUAUCCGGAAUUAUUGGGCGUAAAGGGUACGUAGGUGGUUUACCAAGCGCAGGGUUUAAGGCAAUGGCUCAACCAUUGUUCGCCCUGCGAACUGGCAAACUUGAGUGCAGGAGAGGAAAGCGGAAUUCCUAGUGUAGCGGUGAAAUGCGUAGAUAUUAGGAGGAACACCAGUGGCGAAGGCGGCUUUCUGGACUGUAACUGACACUGAGGUACGAAAGCGUGGGUAGCAAACA
rnacentral:rRNA from 1 species